AAAAAAUACCUAUUUACAUUCAUGUACACACUGCAUUGAAAUUCAGUAUUUCUCUCGACGCCAUAUUUGCAUGUUUCAUUAUCUUCAACUCAUCUCUCUCCUCCCCUCCCCUCCCCUCCCCUCCCCUCAUUUCUCUACAUCUAUAUCAAUAUAUCUUUGUGCCGCGAGAAAGGUCCAAUGGUGGCCAUGAAAGUAGUUUUGUUACUGGUAAUUCUAGUCACAGCAAAUAUGGCUUCAGGAGGAGAGAGUACAAGAAUAAAAAAGUACGAUGCCUUGCUGGAAAAUCAGCUGCCAAGAGGGCCGGUACCUCCUUCCGGUCCAUCCCCUUGCCACAACAAAUUGGACCCUUUCAAGGAAAGCAAGUUUUAUUACACUCCCGAUCCUGAUUAUAUUAUCUGUCCAUGAAUAUUCGAUAUGUUUUUAUUUUCUGGUUAUUCUGAAUUUUUUUAUACACUCACUGCAGAGUUUAUUUGUUAGACUUCGUUUCUAAUUUUAUUUUCAUGUUAAGUUGGGGGUGGGAGGGAUGAUCUCAUUCUCUUUGAUAGUACUAAUUUCUUACAAAGAAAUUUACCUAUCAACUUGUAAACAACAUGCAUCAAAUAACUACCUAUCAUGUAUAUAUCAUGUAAGGCAACUGUCGUAAUGAGCCACUUCGAAUAGCAUUAUUCAAGUAAUUAAUAGGAUAUUAGCUGUCAUAUAUUGAUUAUAUCCAAAAAAUAUUUUCAUUUAUAAAUAAUCAUACUCCAUAGUGAAAAACUAUUAUACUGGAAAAAUUUGUACUCUUAUUAGCUUAAUUCAAUAAUUGUUAGAAACGUUACGGAAAGUAAUUCUGAUUUCCCUGCUAAUUACAAGCAAAAUAUCAAGUUAUAAAUUGAGGCUCAAUGACAACUUUAUAUACUUUUCAAUUGAUGCUCGGAUAACUUCUAGAUUUGCUCUUGUAAUUCGAUAAAAAUCGACUGCUGUAUACAGGUAUUCUUCCAUCAAUAAAUCAAUUAUCAAUGCUUCCAUUUGCCAUUUUUCUCCUACUAUGACAAUAUUUGGUUGACAAGCAUGUUCGAAAAUCAUAUGUCGUGUCAAUAUAGGAC
rnacentral:lncRNA from 1 species